AAAAAUAAUAGUGAUUCCUACAUUUGCCAUUUCUGUGCUCCUUAGCAUCCAAUUUCCCCGUUCUAAUGGUUAACUUUUACUAGAUGAUAAUUUUAAUGGCAUCAUUGAGAUAUGAUUCACAUACUAUAAAAUUCACCCACUUAGAACUGUAUGAUCCAGUGGGUUUUACUACAAUCUGCUUAGAACAUUCUUACCUCAAAAAGAAACUCCAUACUCAUAAGCAGACACUCUCUAUUCUCCAUCAGUCCCCAUCACAGUUUACUUCUAAUCUAUCAUGUCUCUAUAAACUUAAUAUUCUUGACAUUUCAUAUGAAUGAAAUCAAUCAUACAAUAUGUGGUCCUCUGUGACUAGCUUCUUUCUUAUAGCAUAUUUUCAAGGUUCAUCUAUGUUACAGCAUGUACCAAUACUCCAUUUCUCUUUCUCUAAAUAGUAUAUAAUACAGAUAUACCACAUUUUUCAUUCAUUGGUUGAUGAACAUUUGAGAUGCAUCCACUUUUUGACGACUAUGUAUAACAACAUUCUAAUCACUUGUGUACAAGUUUUUAGGUGAGAAUAUUUUUUGCUUUGGGGUAUAGAUCUCAAAAUGGAACUGCUAUGUCAUAUGAUAACCAUGUUUAAUAGUUAUGCCCAACUAUUUGCCAAAGCACCAUUUUACAUUCUGACCAACAAUGUAUGAGAGUUUCAGUUUUGCCACAUAACAGCACUUGUUAUUGUCUGUGUUUUUGAUUAUUUCCAUUUUAAAGGGUGUGAAGUAUUAUCUCAUUGUGGUUUUGAUUUGUAUUUCCCUAAUGACUACAGAGGUUAAUUAAGCAUAUUCUCAUAUGGUUAUUAGCUACUUAUAUAUCUUCUUUGAGGAAAUAUCUACUCAAAUUCUUUGACCAUUUCUUAAUGGGAUUGUCUUUUUAUUGUUGUUAUAAUCAUUUUAAUAUAUUUUGGGUACAAUUCCCAUAUUAGAUAUAUUAUUUGAAAAUAUUUCUUCCAUUCUGUGGGUUGUCUUCUAAUCCAUGAACAUGGAUGUCUUUACAUUCAUUUAGGUCUUCUUAAUCUUUUUCAACAAUGAUUUGUAGUUUUAGUGUAAAAGUCACAAAGAAUUGUAAUCAUUUGACUAAUCUGGUAGCUUCCUGGAAACUGACUUUUGUCCACCUGAAGUUUGCCUGGAGCUAAAGCUGCUACCUGGGGGCAAUGCUAAAACAUUAAUAGGCAAAUAUUUUGGUUACUGUUGCCUGGGGUAAUAGAUAACAUUUGAAGCAACAGACCCAAAAGCUAGGAAGGACAGGCUAGGGAAUGAAUGAUGUCCAUUAGGGCUUUGGAAAGUUAUAACAUAUUCCUGGGAAUCUAGAAGGCGACAUGCAUGGUCAGGGCUGUGUGUAUUCUAAGGAAAGCCCUGAGAAGGCCUCAAGCUGUCAUCUCUGACUGACCUGGAGGUUCUCCUAAGUAGAAAGCUGAGGUUAAGGCACAAUUGUAAACUACCUGGCUGAGUGCUGGAUGUGCACCACAAAAACACACACAGAAUCCACGGCAAACAGUGGGAAAUUUUUUCAUUCUGGAUGUUUAAGGAAAUCUCUGUCCAAUCAUUAGCUGGCCAUUAAGUUAACAACAGAUACUUCAGUGGCCACACAUGACAAAGAAUACAGACUUUACAAAAUUAGUUCAGAAAAGUUACUAGACAAACAACAACUACAACAAGCAGCAACAACAAACACUAGGAUGGAAGAGGGAGUGGAGAAUCUGAUUUUCAGUGUUGCCACAUUAUAAUUUAAAAGUUCUGUUUUCAACUAAGAAUUACAAGGCAUGCAAAGAGAGGAAAAUAUGGCUCAUACGCAGGAGGAAAAGCAAUCAAUAGAUAUCCUGAGAAAGCCCAGACACCGGAUUUUCUAAGCAAAGAUUUUAAUGAAGCCAUGUCUAAAGAAUGAAAUCAAAGUAUGUUUCAACCAAAUGAAGACUAUAAAUAGAAGUAGUGAAAAGAACUUUUAAAUCUAUAACUUUCAAUUAGAGUUGAAAAGUAUAAUAAUUGAAAUGAAAAUUUCACUUGAGUGGCUCAGCAACAGAUUUGAGCAAGCAGAUGAAUAUAUAAACUUAAAGAUAGAUCAACUGACAUCGUACAGUUUGAGGAACAGGAAAAAAAUGAAGAAAAUGAACAGAGCCUAAGAGAAUAGAGCCAACAAGUAUAACAGCAUAUAUAUAAUGUGAGUCUCAGAGGAAAAGGGAAAAAAGCAUCGAAAAGAAUAUUUGAAAAAAACUUCCCAAAUCUGAUGAUAAAUAUUAACCUACAAAUCCAUGAAACUCCAGGAACUCCCAAGUUCUCAAAGAUAUGUAUACCCAGACAUAUUAUAAUCAAACUAUUAAAAACAAAAGCAAGAGACAAUCUUGAAACAGCAAGGGACUCAUCAAUACAAGGGAUCCUCAAUAAGAUUAACAGCUGACUUAUCUACAGAAACCAUGGAGGCCAGAAGCAGUGAGAUGAUGUACUCAAGGUGCUGAACAGAAAAAACUGUCAAUCAAUUCUAUAGUCAGCAAAACUAUCCUUCAAAAAGGAAGAAAAAAAUUAAGACAUUCCCAGAUAAACAUUGCUAGAGGAAUGAAGAUAUGUAGAGCAAAGUUUUUAUUGAAAUUAUUGAAUUAGAUGAAAUAGGUCAACUCAUAAUCUAAUAAAAACUAUGCAUUUUAAAUUAUUUCUUUUUUCAUUUGUGAUUUUGGUGUCAUAUCUAAGACGACUACUUAAAGAGGUCACAAUAUUUUCAUGAGUUUUAUGGGUUUUGCUUAUAUUUUGGUUUAUGAUCCAUCUUGAGUUGACUUGUGCAUGUAGUGUGAGGAAGGCUUUUUUUUUUUUUUUUUUUCCCAUUCCUUUUCCCAUUUGUGCUUCAGAUUUUGUAAUUUCUCUCCAUCCAUCUUCAGGUUUGCUGAUUCUUCUGCCAGCUUAAAUGUACUAUUGAGCCUCCCUAGCAAAAGUUCCAAAUUUUCAACUCCCAAAAUUUUCAUUUAGCUCUUUUUCUUCCUACCUUUUUAUUUACAUUUGAUGAGUCACAGUCAGCAUACUUUAAUUCUUUAAACUUGGUUUUCUUUAGGUGUUUGAACAGAUUUACAAUUGUUUCAGAACACUUAUCCUGUAUCUGCUGUCCAUCAAAGGAAAUUUCUGUUGCCUGCUUUUGUCCACGUGUCACACUUUGUUUCUUUGAAUGUCUCAUAAUUUUGUGUUGAAAACAGGUUUUAGGUAACAUAUUGUAGGAUGUCUACAUGGUGGUUCUCCGGUCUACUCUGAGCUUAUUUUUUAUUUAGUGGCAUGGCUGAACUAAUUCAUGAAGUCUGUGUCCCUCACAAUGUGCAGGGACACAUCUGAUGUUCCUGCUCAAGUUGUUUCUCUCAUUUUUAUCUUUAAGGAUGACUUCCUAAGGGUUGCUUCUGAGUCAGCAUCAUUAAUGAUCAGCCAUUAAUUAAUAAGAGGUUGUGUUUAAGCCCCCUGAAUCAGGGAGAUUUACACCCUACAACAAUAUGUGGGGUGUGGCAUCUUUCACUGUUUAGGGAGUUUACAAGUUUUGUCCUACAUUCUGUUAGGGACUUGUAACUCUGGUUGUUCCUAUGUGGCUCUAGCCCUGAAUCACACACAUUAAUCACAAGGGAUGUCUGUAGUUUUACCCAGUCUUUGUCUCCCCGAUUUGGUCUUUAAGCUUUCUGGCUGGUAUCUAUUGGUAUUACCAGUAACUGCUAGCCUCUAUUUAAUUGGUAGCUGAUUGUCCUAUAGUUUUCAACAAUUUUGGGGGUACAAACAGCUCCAGUCUGUUCCAGGUAAAGUUAGGCCCCUAGUAUAUGGGAAGUGUGCUGUCAAGCUCACUCAACCCUUCUCUUAAAGUGAACCCCUUUCUUCGCCUUUGUACUAUGGAGCAUGUUUGGUAGGGCGUAGGAGUGAGGGUAUGGGAAACCUGGCUCUUCGCUGAAUGUCUCCCAGAUCCUCCCUGCAGAGCAGUUGUGUCAGGGGUUAGAGGACAACAUGGGGGAGAAUCUUCUAUCACCUCCCAGUAUGGAUCUUCUAUAGCCCAGAAUCACAGAGGACGGAAUCUGCUCUAAUGUUCACUAGUGGGAUGCCUGAGUGGCUCAGUGGUUGAGCAUCUGCCUUUGGCUCAGGGCGUGAUCCCAGAGUUCCAGGAUCAAGCCUGCAUCGGGCUCCCUACAUGGAGCCUGUUUCUUCCUCUGCCUGUGUCUCUACCUCUGUGUUUCUCAUGAAUAAAUUAAAAAAUCUUAAAAUAAAAAAUAAUUAAAAAAAAUAAUGUUCACCAGCUGCUGAAUGUACACAGAAUAGCUCUUCUGUCCCCAGAAAGCUUUGAGAGAUAUAAGCUGUCAUCUGGAUGCCAAGCUCACCAGGGCAGGUCUCUCAUAACACGGUUGUGUUGGAAAGGUACUUGUACAAUAAGAGUAGCUGUCCUGCCCUGAUUCUCCUUACACUACAGGAUUUGGGAAUGGUACAAUGGGCACCACUAACCAGCUGCCACCUCCCACUUGAUACAAGCCUUCUGUGGAAGAUCUGUGUGGAAAAUGGGACCUAUCAAAUGGGGAUAUAUUUAAUCUUAUACCCAGAGACACUGUAUCUCCCAGUUAAGUUUUGUAGUUUUUUCCUUUGGCAGCGCCACAUAACUUUUAUUAUUUUGUGGAUCUUACUAUAAAUGGGUCUUCUCUUAUAAUUUGCCAAUUGAUUAUUAUUGUUUAGGAAAGCUAAUUUUUGGAGCAGCCUGGGUGGCUCAGCAGUUUAGCGCCACCUUCAGCCCAGGGAGUGAUCCUGGAGACCCGGGAUCAAGUCCCACAUCGGGCUCCCUGCAUGGAGCCUACUUCUCCCUCUGCCUGCGUCUCUGCCUCUCUUUCUCUGUGUCUCUUAUGAAUAAAUAAAUAAAUAAAUCUUAAAAGAAAAAAAAGGAAAGCUAAUUUUCAGUGUAAUUCUUUGGAUUUUCAAAAUAUUGCAAUCAAGUAAUUUGCAAAUAGUAUUUUAUUCUCUAUCCAAAUUUUUCAUUUUGUUUUCCUAUCUUUUUACAUUAGCAAUAACUUAUGAAAUAAUUGAUGAGAGCAGGCACCUUAACCGAAAGAAGCAAUUUCACUUGCAACCUGAACAUUACCUUCACAUCAAGGAAGAAUUUUUCUAACAUAUUAAAAAUGACUUUACUAGAAAUGAGUAUUUUUUAUUUUUUUAGUAAGUACAUUCUAGACAUUGACUAAAAUCAUGAUUUUUUAGAUUGAUCUACCUAAUAUUAACAUUCUUCCUACACUCUUUACUCAAACAUUUACACUAUCAUAAUAAUGGUAUGUACUUUUUAAAGAAAGAUGAUUUUUAAAUUUGGGGCACUUAUUAACAGAAGCUCAAAAGACAGAACUAAAAAAAAAAAAAAAAAAACAUUCAAAGAAGACUUUGAAGAGGUAAAAUACCUGUUCCAAGAUACUACUUCUCAAUUAUCCAAUUAAGAACAUAUUUAAACCAAUGAACACCAAAAUCAACCAAACUGAUCCUAUUUCAACUGCAUUAUAGGAAAAUUUUUCUGCUAAUGCUACCUUCUCAACUAGCAACAAAUAAUGUCCUAGAAAUUUCUCCAGCAAGUUUCACUGGAUAAGAUCUUCAAUGGAGUCAAGGCACUUUGCUGAAAAUAAGAAUCCUAACAAAUUGCUAAAAUAAGGAAUAAACAGUGCCAAUACCCCGAUUAAAUGGGACAUAUUCCAAGUUAAAUAAGCAGAUAUCAGUAGUGGGAAAAAAAAAUCAGUAAAUAUUGUUUUUACCUCACCUCCAUUCUCCUCCAUCCCAAGAACUCUAAUUACUUUUCUUAAGGGCUAUUUCAAAUCACUUAAAUAACUAGUAUCUAUUUCUCACCUAACCUGGACAGAAAUUCCCACAGCACCUGUUUUACUGUUAAUUCCUCUGUAAGAUGCAUUACCGUUUGCACACAAAUGACCCAUUUACUUUACCCACUAAUCACUUUCAUUACUUACAUUCUCUUCACUUUUAAAUACAUUUACAUUGGUAACUUAUAUGCAUAUUUUUUAUAUUUUGUGACUUUUAUACAGCUGGUAUACAUCACAAAAAAAAACUGUAUCAAACUUGGUUUUAAUUUAAAAAAUUCCAUUCUAAGAGCAGAUUGUUGAGAGAACUAAAAGCAAGGGGUAGUAAAAACUUUGGUGGGCCAAACUCAGCCCAUGGCUCAUUUCCUUAAAUGAAGUUUUAUUAAAACAUAGGCAUACUCAUUGAUUUACAUAUUGUCUAGGGCUGCUUCUGCAUUAUGACAGUGGUGGAGUGUCUGCCUCUGGCUCAGGUUGUGAGUCCUGCAUCAGGCUCCCUGUGGGGAGCCUGCCUAUGUCUCUGUCUCUCUCAAGUAAAUAAACAAAAUCUUAAAAAAAAAAAAAAAAAAAAAA
rnacentral:lncRNA from 1 species